AGGGCCCCCACUCCCUUUCCAGGUCCAGCUACGGCUCCGAGCCCCAGUCUGUGCGUCGCUCCCCCUGCACAUCUGGUCGUGCUCCCAGCAGGAACUCGGCAGCACGUCCAUCAGCAGGUAGGGCGGACCCAGGAGGCAUCCUAUUUCAGGACUCUGGACCCCUGGCCAGCCCAGUGUGGGUCCCUUCAAGAGUCCUGCCCAGCUUCCAGGCACCCAGUGGCUCCACGCAUCCCACAGAGGUCGGAGCUGCAGGAACACAGAAAGUCCAGUGGAGAAGACAUCUUGCCCGGCUUCCAGAGAGGACGAUCACAAAUGAUCAGAGGGAGAGGGAGCAUGCAUGAUUAAGGCUCCCACAGCGAGGCUCCUGAACUGUCUGCCUGAUUUAAGAACUAAUGACUCGGAGAGUCCUCACAGCCAGGGAGAUGCUGCGUGUCACCCACAACUGGCCGCCUCCUCCCGGGGCACCAGAGGCACGGGCAGCCGGCUCAUCAAUCAGUCCUGGCACAUAGAAAACUGCCACAGCAUCUCCAUCCUGCUGACUAAUAACUUCAUCAGAGCCCUGUCCCAGGGGAAAUGUAAGUCCCCAAGGGGAAAGGGCCAGGUGGAGGAGCCUGCCCAGGACCCCUCCUGGGGAUACCUGGGAUGCUCAGGAGCAGAGUCACUGGACCAGCUGCCGCCCAGAAUCAAGACUUUGUCCAGACUUUGCAUCCCCAUGACGGAGGCUGUGGAUGCGCCCACACCUCCAGUUCCGUCAUUUGACAGAUUUAGUUUUGGUACCUGGAUUGACCAGGGUUGCUUUGUCCCUGAGCUCCAUCCUCAGCAUUUUCACUUUGAGACAGGUCUUAUUAAGUUGCUGAGACUGGCCUUAGUUUCAAUCCUCCUGCCUCAGCCUCCUGGGUCACUGGGAUUACAGGGGAGCACGCCACCAUGUCCAGAUCCAGUAGAUGAUUUUUACAGUUCCCAUUUCUCCGCAGAAAGUCCUAUCUGUUCACAUAUCUUGGCAACCGUUCCCUUCACCGGGUCUGUUCACAUCUUCAUUUUAGUUGAUUCAAAGACCUCAUCUAAUAAUUCCAACAUCUCCGCCAUUGGUGGAUCUACUUCUAUUAACGAUUUUUCUCCUGAUCAGGGGGCAUGUUUUUCCUGCUUCUUUGCAACUUUUUAAAAUGUAUGCCAAGCAUGAUGCUUUUUUUUUUUUUAAAGCAGUGUGUAAAAUAAAUACAUUUCCUGGAGAAAGAAGACGCCUUCCUGUCUCAGGCCACCACGUGGGUCUGAUGGGUUGGCCCUGGGCUUUGGUGAAGUCUUCCACCCACUUCAUCAGGUCUUCCCUGAAUCAAGUGCUUUGGAGAGAAGAGGAUUGCGUGAAUCGCCUCGCACGUGUCUCUGCCAGAAGGGUGGGUGUGGUGUCGGAGGGCACGGAGGAUGUGAACACGGGACGUGGAGGUCAGCGCUGCUAGGCAAGGUGGCACUGCAGACGUGCAGGCGCGGGCGGUGACUGACCAGAGAUGGAGUGUUGAUCCUCGAGGCUCCAGCUGCUGUGUCGCUGAAGACAGCAGUUCUCACCAUCUCAGGAUGGACGCUCUGCCUCCAGCUCACCUCUUCAGUGACUUGGGGCGGGGGAGGGUCUCAGGACUCCAGAUCAAUCAGCCACAGGCCACUUGCUGCUUCCUCGGAUCCACGAUGCUGGCAUCCCGUCCUGCUUCCAGCCACAGCAGGCAGAGCCCGGCGGCCAGGGGCGCUCACCUUAGAAAGCAGAAGCCCCCUGCUCCUGGCCCGGCUCUCUGGAUCCUGGCCCCCACCGCGAGCCCCCUCUGCUGCCUGCCAGACUUCCCGCAGAACUUUCUGGCUUUUGUCAGCUUGAGGCAGGCCUAGGAAGUCGUGGGAGCUGAGAGGGUGUGUAUCUCAUAAAGGCGAAGCUCUGUAAUUUAGCAAUUACUGGAACCCACACUUGUAAUUUAGGGGGUUUCUUGUAAUUCUUCUUUGUACUCUUUCUCUCUCUUUCAACAAAUAUGCAGUUUAAUAGCUUCUUCUCCUGUGCUCUGAAGGCUGGCAUGUGCCGACCCUCCCCCAGCCAGCCGUGGAGCACAGGGAAGUAUGUACCCUGGGUGGGGACUUCAGGACCCGAAGGGCUAGUCUAGUGUCCCACAUCUCCAGAGAGAAACUGUUGGCUUCUUGCAGUCGCGCAGAGCUCAGGGCUCUGAUUCCCCCACUGGUUUGCCUGUCAGGAUGGGCUGCAGCCUUGGAUGGGAGGCGGCCCCUCCCCGGUUCUGGGGUUCCCCCAGCCCCUGGCUGCUCCCGGGGCACGCAGGUGAGUUUUACUUCUCCAUCUUCAUCCUCAGGUACUGUGACCAGUAACUUGUUUGUUCACUUAAGAUGUCUUGUUUGUUUGAUUUUGAGAUCCUCUGUGGACAGGCACUAUGCCCCCCAGGGAGCCUAAGCCCAGAAACACAGACGGACUCUCUCAAGGAGAUGGCAGCCUGCUGGGGAAGACGUGACCGUGUGGUCACUAGAUCAGGCGUCGCUACUGUGGCGCUGUGGGCACUGAGGGCCAGGGAUGCCGAGGACAGCGCAGAACCCGUCGGACAGAGCUGCCCCCGGAGAGCAGGCAGCCAGGUGCAGAGGAGGGAAGAAGUUGCAGAGACAAAGCCCAGGGAGGAGGGACCACAAACACCCAGGGCUGGAAUGUUCUAGAAGCUGUGCUUAAAUUAUGGCCAGAUGGGAACAAAUUCAAAUGUUCACCAGUAGAGGAUUUGGAUAUAUUCACACAACGGAAUUCUAGCAAGUAAAAGUGAACUAUAGACACACAGGCAUGAUUCGCGUUCUCUUUCUCUUUUAGUACUGAGACUCGAACCCAGGGGCACUCCACCACUGAGCUACACCCCCAGCCCUUUUAAUUUGUAUUUUGAGGCAGGGUCUCACCCAGUUGCCCACGCUGGCCUCAAACUCACGAUCCUCCUGCCUCAGCCUCCUGAGCCGUGGGAUUCCAGGGAUUCGCAGUGGCUGAGCUCCGGUGACCGAGGCUGGAGAUCCGCCCUGGUUCCCCCUGCCCCACCCUGCCACUUCCCGGCUCUGUCCGUCCGUCCCCUGUGUCCUGUUGGGAUUGAAUCUCCACUGCCGGGUGGUUUGGGGGACUUGGGAGAAGCACAUUUAAUCUCAGCUCUGCGGGUGGAACUGUUUGGGUCUUACUUUCCUCUUGGUACGUUUCAGCUCUUAGGGGGAGAGGCAUCUUGGAGUCAGUGACAACUUCUGAGGCUCCUGUUCCUGAUGACCUGGUUUACUAGGUCACUGUUGCCAUGUCUUUCUAGACUCUCGGACUGAAUGGUAAAAUCAUGCCCCAUUCUGUCUUCUGGGUGACUAGUCGCAGUUGACAUUUGCCCGUCUUCCCCAUGCCAGCAGGUGGUGAGCCCCUUCCUGCCAGCCUCCGCUGGGCUCUGGUGCCCGCUGCUCCGUCUUUCCCAGGAUGGCUGCGCAGCCCCGGCCAAUCAGCGGGACGUCCUCUUUCCUCUCUCCUGGGUUGGGUGCCUUUUUCCUAGAUCCAGCGCCUUCCAGUGGCUUCCCGACAAGUCUUGAGACUGCCCACAGAGCCUUGAGCUCUGUCCUUGGACUGGACGUGGGAUUCUGCUUGGAAUAGCUUCUCUGGGAAUGUGGACGGCCGGCUUUGUCAUUUCUCCUUUCUCCUUUCCUGGUGACGUCUGGUCCACCCCCUUCCUCUCUAGUCCUGGAAUUCGACGUGGUCAUCACGAUGCACCUCCGUGUGGUCACUGGAAUCCACUUUGCUGGGCCCUUGGUAGCCCUUUUCCUUGUGAAGUGGUCCACGCGGAUCUGACUGUCGCCUUAGAUGGCGGUAGCCGACGCAGGAAGGAGGUGCCAGCUGCCCCUCACACUGGGCCCCCAGACUCAAUGACCACAGACUUAGAAAAACUCCCACGUGUGCAAAUUCCUGUUGGACCAACAUGUGCUCCAAGGGCACAAGAGCCUCAGGAAGCCCCAGCGACUGUCUGUCAGUCUCCAGCUUCCCAGUGUGCACGGCUUCCAGAACCUGCCAGAGUGGGGCUCUGGGCUCUGGGGCCAGUGGUCAGUGCUGUGAAGACACUGGCCGCACUCGGCCCGUAGGGACAGCAUCAGGCACAGUUCCUAAGGGUACAGAUGACAAUCCUGGCUGGUCACUCGAACGGGGAGUCUGUUAUCAGAGUCAGCCUUCGAUGUAUCUUGAUUAACUUUCAUUUUGGCAGUGAGAG
rnacentral:lncRNA from 1 species